AGCAGAAUGGCCUAGUGGAAAGAGCCCAUGACUGGGAAUCAGAAGACUUGGGUUCUAAUCCUGACUCUGCUC
rnacentral:tRNA from 1 species